ACACCUGAAUAAUUGUCUCAACCUGUAGUUUUAACCAGGUGAGCAAAGUUUCAGGUGUGC
rnacentral:pre_miRNA from 1 species